GACGGAGGAUGCAAGUGUUAUCCGGAAUCACUGGGCGUAAAGCGUCUGUAGGUGGUUUAAUAAGUCAACUGUUAAAUCUUGAGGCUCAACCUCAAAAAUCGCAGUCGAAACUAUUAGGCUAGAGUAUAGUAGGGGUAAAGGGAAUUUCCAGUGGAGCGGUGAAAUGCGUAAAUAUCGAGAGGAACACCUGCGGCGAAGGCGGGUUGCUGGGCUGAUACUGACGCUGAGGCGCGAAAGCCAGGGGAGCGAACGGG
rnacentral:rRNA from 1 species